UGUAGGAGUGAGCCUGCUCGCGAUGGCGAUCUGUCAGUCACCGGUUUUUUGACUGGAAGACCGCCAUCGCGAGCAGGCUCACUCCUACA
rnacentral:misc_RNA from 1 species